UGGUAACCCGCGGAAACGGAAACGCGCGGGGCCGGCGGGGGCCGCCGGGAGCGGGGUCGGUUUGAACCGUUCGGCCGGGCCGGCUCUGUGUGGGGCGGCCGUUCCCCCGCUGAGGGGGGUCGGGACCCGCCGGCCCGGCUCGGCCCCCCGCUCCCUCGGAGAGCGAGGUUACUUUGUGUUCUUUCAAAAUGGAUGGUGAAGAGGAAAUAUGGGAAAAACUAGAUGCAGAAUUUGAUCACUGUGUUGUGGAUAUGAAGCCUUAUGUUCUAAAACUACAGCAUAGGUCAGAACGACAAAGAUGUGCGCUGUGGAUUAAAAAACUAUGCGAACCCUCAGGAGCAGGCACAGGAAUAGUGGGAAGGAAGAAUCGGAACCUAUAUGCAAAACUUUUGCUCCACAUGCUAAAGCGAGGUGUGCUGGAAGGUCCUUUUACACAUAAACCAGAAGCAGGAAUACUGAAAACUUUACCUUCAUACAUGUCAAUUUAUUUUGAUGAACCAAAUUCUACAAGAGUUCGGAGCAGUAGCCCAGACUGCUUACCUGACUGGGUAAUGGGAGAACUAGGGAACGGUGAAUCUAAGCAUGAGGAAUCAUGGAAGGUAUCUUCUAAAGAGGAAUCAUCUUCAGCAACACCACUUACGUAUGGACCUCAGAUAUUAUGGUGGCAAAGCACGGUGGUCACAAGGGAAAGAUUCAAGUACAGUGAGAAGCCAGCAUCAAGAUCACAUUCUAUGAGUCCUCCUCACCGGAUGGGUGAAGAUAACCUAGCCACACCACUGUCUGACCACCAUCAUAAAAAAACCAUUUCUUUGGAUGACAGUGACCUUGAAGCACGUCUCAAUAGUUGGAAUCUUGGGCUAGAAAAUCCAAGAUAUUUGCGGGAAAAACCGAUGCCAGUGUCUUUGAUGACACCCAAAAUUGGCCUAGGAAAAAGUACCACUUUUCGUGAUGAACACGCAGUAUUUCGAAUGCAUGAAAAAGAGCUGGACAUGAAAAUGAAAAUAGCAGAAGGUAAAUUUCAUGAAGAAAAACUUAAGUUACAGCAGAAGCAUGAUACUGAUGUUCAAAAGAUUUUGGAUAGAAAGAAUGAUGAAAUAGAGGCAUUGAAGUCCCUCUACAAAAACAAACAAAAUGAAGCUGAGGAGGCAAUUAAGAAACUGGAGAAAAAAGUUCAGACCCUUGUUCGUGAGUCACAAGUCAUCAGAGAAGCAAAAGAGAAGCAGAUCGUGGAGUUAAAGAAGAUGUGUGAGCAAAGCAAUGACUCUUUGAACAAUGAGUGGGAGAAAAGGCUUCACAAUGCUGUGGCUGAGAUGGAGAAGGAGAAGUUCAAUAUUCGGAAGAAGCACACGGAAGAUAUGCAGGAACUGCUUGAGGACACCAAUGCGCGUCUUGGCAAAAUGGAGGAAGAUUAUUUGGAACAGAUAAAGUCUACUAACCAGACGGUCAAAAAACUGGAGGCUCGUGUCCAGCAGUUGACUGUUGAGGCUGAAAAUAGUAAUUUACAGCGUCAAAAAUUAUCUCAAGAAAAGACUGAUGCAGAACAACGUUACCAGGCGGUGUGCACUGAACUUCAGGAAGUGAAAGCAAGGCAUGGCUUACUUCAGAAAGACAAGGACCGUAUUAUACAGGAAUACGAGGAGAACAUCCAGCAACUACAAAGUAAAUUUGAUGUUGAUGUAAAUUUUAUAAAACAGGAACAUGCUCUCUCUGCAGCAAAGGCAGCUGAUGCGAUUGAAGAAUUGCAGCAUAGUGUGUCUCUAUUAAAACAACAGUUAGAAGAUUUAGAACAUCAAAGACAGCAAGAGCUGAGGGAUCAAGAAUACAAGCUUCAACAGGACAAACUUCACCUGGAGCGUGUAUAUGAAAAACAGAUUCAUGGCAUCCGGAAUGAUCUUGAUAAAGAAAGAGAGGAUGCUCUAAAGAAAAUUCGCAAAAUGGAAGAGACUUUGAAGGAGAAGGAGGAGCAGCUGACUCGGGUGACAGAGGUACAGAGGCUGCAGGCCCAGCAGGCAGAUGCUGCCCUGGAGGAGUUUAAGCGGCAGGUGGAGCUGAACUCAGAAAAAGUCUAUGCUGAAAUGAAACAGCAGAUGGAAAAGGUUGAAGCAGAUCUAAGCAGAUCAAAAUCGCUCCGGGAAAAGCAAUCCAAAGAAUUCUCCUGGCAAUUGGAAGAGCUCCAGCAAAGAUACGAGCAACAGAUAGUGGAGCUGAGGCUGGAGCAUGAACAGGAGAAGACGCACCUAUUCCAGCAGCACAACGCAGAGAAGGACUGCCUGGUCCGAGACCAUGAACGGGAAAUCGAGAAACUGGAAAAACAGCUUCGCGCUGCCAUGGCAGAGCACGAGAGUAAAACUCAAGAAUGCAGGAAACGAGACGGACAGGUUAUCUGUGAUAUGGAGAACCAAAUCCACAAGCUGAGGGAAGAGCUUAUCCAGGUGAACGCUCAGCGGAAGCAGCAGCUGCUGGAGCUGAGCCAUCAGUGGGAAGAGAAGAAGCAGAGGGUGGCUCGAGACCAUGAGACGGCUCUGAAUAAGCUGAAAGUGGAGGCAGAAAAAAUGACAUUAGACCUGAAAAAGAUACAUGCAGCAGAAAUAGAGAAGGCCUUGGAAAAGGCAAACAGCCGGCUGAAGCAGACGGAGAAGGAGUACGGCCAGAAGCUGGCUAAAUCCUCGCAGAUCAUAGCUGAGCUGAAGACAACCAUUUCCUCUCUGACGGAGGAGAACAGCCGGCAGCAGCAGCGGCUCCAGGAAGUUGUACAAAAGUUUGAAGAUAAGAAGCAGCAGCUGAUUACAGAUAAUGACAGAGCAAUCAAGGCUUUACAAGAUGAAGUGGAAAGUUACCGCGGUCAGGUGCGGGCUGCAGAGAAGAAGCUGCAACUCAGGGAGCUGGAGGCCCACGAGCAGAUGACCCAUAUACGACAAGAAUAUGAAACCACAUUCAAAGGUCUGAUGCCAGCGUCUGUGAGACAGGAACUUGAAGACACCAUUGUAUCUUUAAAAUCUCAGGUAAAUAUUCUGCAGAAAAGAGUCUCCGUCCUCCAGGAAGAGCUGAACACCUACCACGCCAGAAGGUAGCUGCAGGAGCCGUUGGAUUUCUUCGGUUGCCAAAUGGACUGCUUUGAAUAGAGAGGAGGCUCAGCCGAUCCCCCGCUGACUGCAGGCAGCGGCAGGCAGAGGAGCAGGCAGCUCCCGCAGCAACCGGCAGCCCC